ACACAGGGUAUUGUGGUAGAAACAUAUUUUAACAAUGGCUUAGAUUUUACUCUCAACAUGUGUAAAAUUUAAGAAACUGAGGGUGGUCAUGAUAAAAAACCUUUAAAUAUGUUUAACAAAAAGCUUAUUUUCAAACAAGGGUAAUGAUUAAAGAUUAAAGAACCUACAUGGGCUGUAUACUGGACAUGUGAAUCGGUCACUUAUCACAGGUAAAACACACGUGUCGUACAGAAAUUGUAUAUAAUUAUUUCAGCAUCCUAUUUCCUAAGAAAUGUGUUUCGGGGUGAUUUGCAAAUGUCUCAUUAAGAUAUUUGAGGUUAACCAGUUAUGGAUUUAAACUUGAUUCAAGGUAUGAAGAUUUCCAUAUCUUUAAUUUCAAGGUAUGAAGAUUUCCAUAUCUUUAAUUUCAAUGCAUGGAGAUUUCUUUUUCUUCAAGUUGAGCUUCUUUUUUUAGCAGCCUCAAUAUUAUGAUCUUAAAAAAGAAGUUGAAUGGUUUAACAAGAUUCCAGGGUAUUUUUGAAGGUAUGCAUGGAAUGUACCUGCAGUGAAGUUCAAGGAAAUCCUUUUUUUUUCUUUAUGUGUACAUGCAGAAUGUAUCCUCAUUGUGUCUGGUAUAUGGGAGAACUUGUUGAUUUAUAAUAUUAUGUAUGUACUAGAUGUCUUUGGAAUAUGGAUCAUCAUUAUCAUGUUGCUUUUAAUGUCACAUUCGGAACAUUAAAAUCAUUUGUUGCAUGAUUUUUGUGUGCUUUUUUUUUUAUUUCAAAAAAGUUGCAUCAAUCCAUUGGCAUUUAAGAAAUAAGCUUGAAUAUUUCAUAAUGCUUAUUAACUAACCUUUGGCAUCAUUUGUGGAAACAUACCUCUUGACUGUGGCAUCCAAGUUGUGAGGGGACCUACCAUACAUCUUUUACAUGGGUUCCGACAUUACUUGAUGAGAUCUGCAUAUAAUUGACUCGGAUCUAUAGAUAUCCUUAUAUAGAGGCAUUUUUACCAUUAUAUUGACCCAGGCAUAUAGUGUUACCCUUGGACAUUGUGCCAUGUCAUAAUUUCAUUACUAUUCAACAGAUAAAAAAUACAAUAUAUAGAACUGUAAUUUGGUAAUAACAUGAAGUUCAAUUUAGGAUUUGGUUAUGAUUUAACUUUAAGAAUUUUAAUUAAAAUUUUCACAUAACAUAAUAAAAAAAGCAAGAUCUUUGAUUGUAGGUUACUCCUGGGGACUUAAGAAAGUGUAAUACACAAAAUUAUAGAAUCUCUUAGUCAAGAGGAUGUCAUUAAUAGCAAUAUCUGGGGUGACUUUUCAAACGAAAUUUGAACAAAGCCAGUUGCUAAUUUACUUAGCCUUGGUAAGUCAACACAUCCAUCUUGGUAACCUACUGACAUUGUGUUUGAUCCUACACAUCUAAAAAUGAAGUAUGGCACCAUUGAAGAUUAAUUAAAUUAACUAUAUAUUUACAAUGCAACAAGUUUAUCAAAAAUUCAUCAUCAUACAUUGCUGUAGAGUAGAAGAGAAUUCUAUGGCAAAAGACCGCUGCUCAACAGAAUCGGCGAAGUUACUAGGACUUGACAUGUCCCUGUGACUAGACCAUCAGAUGGAUAUUGCCUGAAUAUGAAAUAUCUGCUGGCGCACUUUCCCGGAGGAACAGGCUAUCAUACUUCUGUGAAAAAUGUUUAAUGUAAAAUGUAGAUGUUUUCAGUCGCAGGCACGUGUCUGAUUUUCGGCUUGAUGGAAAGGGCAAAUUGAACAACCCAAUUUCCUUGAAGAAUUUCAACCAAGCCUGAAGUAUUUCACAUGCCUUGAUAUCUGACGUGCAGUACACCAACUGUAUUAUUCUUUUUCGUCCACGAAGAAUGUUCUUGUACAACCCGAUUUAGGAUGUGCUAUGGCUAGUCUAAGCUAUUCUGAAUAGUGUGCAACCAGGUUAGGAAUCCACUUCUUAUAUGCGACUGUUUUACAACGUUAAAAACAUUAAAUUAGAGUUGGUGCUAGCGACAAAGAUAUUUUUAUGUGGUCUCAAAUAAUCAUCUGGCGUUGUUUGUAGCAGUGUCGUGGCGAGGGGAGAAUGGACAUAGAACAUGGCUGACACUGCAAUGCAAUCACGUGCACUGUGUUUUAAUCGAAAUGCUUACGCAAUAAAAAAAUCAAUGUUGACCAUUACGUUGACAGAUACGAGAAGCAAGUAUCUCUUAAGAUAGAACGUCAUCCAUGAAUCGUGUAUACGGAAGUAUGAACGCAGUUGGCUACGCACGAACUAUUGAGGUAUUGUCACGUACUGCUAUCACUUGUACAACAAAAUCAUUUAGUUGCACUUCCUCUUUUCAUCAGCGUUAAAAUCAGUUUGAUAUAACUUGAUAUCCUCCCUUCUUAGUCUUGUUCGAUUGAAGCCACCUGACAUUUAAGAAACAAUUAUCGAAACGCGAGACGUUUAUUGUUUCGAAUACAAAUACAUAUUGUAUGAAAAUAUAUAUCGAGCAUAAUUAACUACUGGGCCGUUUUCGUUUCUGCGGUCCAAACGGUUGGACUAGUUGGACCGGUGUUGUUCGGACGGACAUGGUGAUUUUAUAUUGUUUUCAGACGUGUCUAGACAAAGACAUCCAAGGCAUGUAUUCACAUUUGCAGGUCUGUCAAGAUAUAUGUUUGAAAUAUUACAUUUAAAAACUGUCGAACCGGUUUGUCCGCAUAAACGAACAGGCCCCAUGGCUUCGGAAUAUAAAACAUCAUGUUUUUGUCUUAAUGAUUGUGUCUGAGAAGUAAUGGUAUGUUAUGAAUGAUGUUUUCUCGACCAAUUUGAACCGACUUGUUUCAUUUUAAAUAAUAAAAAUUAAUUCCGUG